rnacentral:rRNA from 1 species
GACGAACGCUGGCGGCGUGCUUAACACAUGCAAGUCGAACGGAAAGGCCCUGCUUGCAGGGUACUCUAGUGGCGAACGGGUGAGUAACACGUGGGUGAUCUUCCCUUCACUUCGGGAUAAGCUUGGGAAACUGGGUCUAAUACCGGAUAGGAACCAUCUUUAGUGUUGUGGUUGGAAAGUUUUUUCGGUGUAGGAUGAGCUCGCGUCCUAUCAGCUUGUUGGUGGGGUAAUGGCCUACCAAGGCGGGGACGGGUAGCCGGCCUGAGAGGGUGUACGGCCACAUUGGGACUGAGAGACGGCCCAGAAGCCGACGGGAGGGAGCAGUGGGGAAUAUUGCACAAUGGGCGCAAGCCGGAUGCAGCGAAGCCGCGGGGGGGAUGAAGGCCUUCGGGUUGUAAACUCCGUUCGCUAGGGACGAAGCUUUUUGUGACGGUACCUAGAUAAGAAGCACCGGCUAACUACGUG